rnacentral:rRNA from 1 species
CCGCGUAANAGANGGAAGGCCUUAGGGUUGUAAAGCUCUUUCGCGCGCGACGAUGAUGACGGUAGCGCGAGAAGAAGCCCCGGCUAACUUCGUGCCAGCAGCCGCGGUAAUACGAAGGGGGCGAGCGUUGUUCGGAAUUACUGGGCGUAAAGGGCGCGCAGGCGGCAGAUCAAGUCAGGCGUGAAAGCCCCGGGCUCAACCUGGGAAUGGCGCUUGGGACUGGUUUGCUAGAGUUCGGGAGAGGAGCGUGGAAUUCCCAGUGUAGAGGUGAAAUUCGUAGAUAUUGGGAAGAACACCGGUGGCGAAGGCGGCGCUCUGGACCGAGACUGACGCUGAGGCGCGAAAGCGUGGGGAGCAAACAGGAUUAGAUACCCUGGUAGUCCACGCUGUAAACGAUGUGUGCUAGACGUUGGGGAGCCUAGCUCUUCGGUGUCGCAGCUAACGCGGUAAGCACACCGCCUGGGGAGUACGGCCGCAAGGUUAAAACUCAAAAAAAUUGACGGNA